UUGUUAGCUGAUGUUUUAGAACAAAAAAAUUAAAUAAUAUAAAUAUUCAACAUGUAAUGCCCAUUAUUAUUCACAGCGACAUGUAGUCCCCAUUAAGAUUCACAAUGAUCAGUGACAUGCGUUGCAUCUGUAUCUAAAAUUUGAAUAUUCUUCACAGGUUCAUUUAAAGGUUGCUCUUCUGUGCUGCUUUCUACAUUGCUCGGUUAUUUAAGAUAGUUGCUAUAAUGCAAUCUUAAAUAAUCUUGAUUUACAAUUAUACAUGUAAUCAUGACCGUUUCGGGAUUCUAUAUUAUCAGCUAAUGACGAUUUUGCCUUACUUGGAUCUUGAUUAAUUUAUCUUUUUAUUGUAAAUUUAUUUAUAAUAAAAAGAUAAAUUGCGGAACAAUCAGGAUCCAAGCAAGGCAAAAGUCAUUAGCUGAUGAUAUAGAAUUCCGAAACGCUCAUAAUUACAUGUAUAAUUGUAAAUCAAGAUUAUUUAAGAUAAUUGCAUUAUUGCAACUAUCUUAAAUAAUCGAGUAGUGCAGAAAGUAACACAGAAGAGUUAUCAUUGCAACAAAAUGGCAACAAAGUCGCCAUCAGCUUAGAAUCCUUUUAAUUUCCGAAAUAUUUUUUAUGACUUGUUUCAUUUUUGAAUUUCAACAUUUUCGCCAUUUUAUUUACAUCUUUUUUCGCCUUUCUAAUAAUAAUUUCGUGGGGCCUAUAUGUUGAAUACUUGUAGUAUAUUAUUUUUAUUGACACGUAGCAUUUAAUAAUUGGUCUUCGUAUUACUAUGUUCCAAGUAUAAACUAAUUUGUAUAUCUUUUUUUUAACUAAUGUUUUUUAACUAAUACAAUAUUGUAUUAUUUUAUAUUCUCUUAAUACAAAAGUUAUAUCUCACUGCAAAUUUUCAUCAAAUCCAUGAGUGAUAUUUAAACUUUAGAUACAAGUUUCCAUCGCCACUUGUAUCUGGUAUAAAUUUAUCUGUACAUACUUAUAAUGGUAGAAUUUUACUAAACUACUUUGAGUAGCAACUGUGUCUGAUCAUAAAGAAAAAAAAUUUGAGAAGAUUGAUACAGCAAAUGAGAGUUAUUUUUAGGAAACUGAGACAAAACAAGUCAGAAGACAAACGAAUGAUUAAUAUAAAAUAAGAUAAAUUAUUCCAUGUAUAUCGGAUUAUGAUAUUCUUGAAUAUUAUUUCUGUAUUUGUAAUUUUUGAUAGAAAAUAUCUUUGUAUAGUUUUAAUAAUUUA